GAGAGAGAGAGAGAGAGAGAGAGGGGAAGAGGGGAGAAAAGAGCCAUUAGGACAUAAUUUUUAUCCUAAAAAAAUGACAAGACAUAGUAGUUCCUCAAGGUAAAUAAAUGUUUUCUCAGCUUAAAAUAAGUUUUUUAUAUGGUCUUUCCUAUGGGGACUGGAUCAUAUCCCCUCAAUUUUUCCCAUUGCAGAUGCUGCAAGAGUUUCAUUUGACUGCAUCACAAAGGAUUUUUAAUAAAUGUUCACAGCAAAAUAUCUAACUGCAACUCAAGGAAAUAAAUUCUGCCAGCUACCAGGACAACACCACCCAGAUUCUUUUCUUUGGCUUGAUCCGCCUGCAGUCUUUCUCGUUUCAGAUGAUGGCAACUUCAGCUUUGCAGUGACUCAGGCAAAACACCCUGGAGUCA